AGAGUUGUAUCCUGGCUCAGAUUGAACGCUGGCGGCAUGCCUUACACAUGCAAGUCGAACGGCAGCACGGAGCUUGCUCUGGUGGCGAGUGGCGAACGGGUGAGUAAUAUAUCGGAACGUACCCAGGAGUGGGGGAUAACGUAGCGAAAGUUACGCUAAUACCGCAUACGUCCUAAGGGAGAAAGCAGGGGACCGCAAGGCCUUGUGCUCGUGGAGCGGCCGAUAUCUGAUUAGCUAGUUGGUGGGGUAAAGGCCUACCAAGGCAUCGAUCAGUAGCUGGUCUGAGAGGACGACCAGCCACACUGGAACUGAGACACGGUCCAGACUCCUACGGGAGGCAGCAGUGGGGAAUUUUGGACAAUGGGGGCAACCCUGAUCCAGCAAUGCCGCGUGAGUGAAGAAGGCCUUCGGGUUGUAAAGCUCUUUUGUCAGGGAAGAAAAGGGAUUGGCUAAUACCCAGUCCUCAUGACGGUACCUGAAGAAUAAGCACCGGCUAACUACGUGCCAGCAGCCGCGGUAAUACGUAGGGUGCAAGCGUUAAUCGGAAUUACUGGGCGUAAAGCGUGCGCAGGCGGUUUUGUAAGACUGUCGUGAAAUCCCCGGGCUCAACCUGGGAAUGGCGAUGGUGACUGCAAGGCUAGAGUUUGGCAGAGGGGGGU
rnacentral:rRNA from 1 species